rnacentral:rRNA from 1 species
CUCAUUAAAUCAGUUAUAGUUUAUUUGAUGGUCUCUUUUGUCUUUUUUUACCUACUUGGAUAACCGUGGUAAUUCUAGAGCUAAUACAUGCGCAAGGUCCCGAGCGCGGGGGGUGGGGCUUCACGGCUCCAUUCUCGCAUGCGCAGAGGGAUGUAUUUAUUAGGUUAAACAACCAGCAUUUUUUCAUUUCUGGUGAUUCAUAGUAACUCUUUCGGAUCGCAUUCAUG